rnacentral:rRNA from 1 species
UACGUAAGGGGCGAGCGUUGCUCGGAAUUACUGGGCGUAAAGGGCGUGCAGGCGGCUUAGUAAGUCGAAUGUAAAAAACUGAGGCUUAACCUCAGGGCUGCGUUCGAAACUGCCAAGCUUGAGUCUGGUGGAGGGUGAUGGAAUUCCCGGUGUAGCGGUGAAAUGCGUAGAUAUCGGGAAGAACACCGAAGGCGAAAGCAGUCACCUAUGCCAAGACUGACGCUGAGGCGCGAAAGCAUGGGGAUCAAACAGG